GGAAAUAUUCAAGAUGUCAUAUUACAGGAAAAUUUGGAGAAAGAAGAUGAAAUACUGGUCUCUUUAGCAGGAUUAAAGCAGAUCAAAGAUAUCCUCAAAGGUUCCCUUCGCUUCAACCAGAGCCAGCUGGAGGCUGAGGAGAACGAGCAGAUCACCAUAGCGGAUGACCACUACUGUUCGAGCAGUCAGAACAAAGCCUCGGCGGAGGGGGACAAGCAGCCCCUCCAGGCGCCCCAUCAGAGCCGGUCCGGCGUGCCCGCGAGUUCGGACGACUAUAUCCUGGUGUCCAAAGAGGACGAGGAAG